UGGACUUUCUACGGAGGGACGACACUUGGAGUCCUAAAAGACUUGUUCUUGUUCGGUUCGGGCGCAGCUAGGGAAGGCACGCAACAAAGAGUAUGCAUCUAAACUAUGCUAAAUGAUUAUGUGUAAAUAAUAUGUUUCCUGGGUUAAUGGUUGUUUCCGCAUGAUUUAUGUAAAUGUCAUAUGUAUCAUAACCUAACACAUGGUUCUUGGGGGAGCAAGUAUUUUGGCAGACUGUUGAGCUCAUACGGGUGCCCCAGUCGCCGCCUUCUAGUACGUUGCGCCCUACGGGUAUCCUUGCUAGACGCCAGGCGGUGUUGUAGCAGGGCGUGCCAGCGGGUGAGCUGGUGAUGCUUGAUUCCAACUAUCUUGAUUUUGUGCGACUCCGGAUCUUGCUUCCUCCAGUACAAGGUUCUUGAGGGAGCGAGUACUCUGGUUGACUGCUGAGCUCAUACGGUGCCCCAGUACCGCCUUCUAGUAUGUUGCGCCCUACGGGCAUCAUUGCUAGCCGUCGGGAGGUUUUGCGGUAGGGAAUGCCGGCGGGUGAGCUGGUGAUGCUUGAUUCCAGCUAUCCUGAUUUUGUGCAACUUCGGAUCUUGUUUCCUCCGGUCACUGAGCCUGAGCCUACUGAUCUCGGCGGUUGGGUGCCACCUGAUUGCAUAAUUCAGUCUACCACGGCGGGUGGGUCUAGGAGGGAUUUCACCCGUUGGGCCCCGUGGAUGCUCGCGCGGUACAUGUUAGGAUGGUCAACCAAGUAGUACGCGUAGUCAACCGGCUAAAGGCCGCUUUGUCCUCAGCUCGGGCGGCUCUUUCCUGCAGCAACCCGAACUCGACUCAGAUUUUGCCGACUGGCGUCUCGCAGGCCCGUUUGCCAGAGCCGAUGCAGACUCCUCGGAGGGAUCGGCGUUCUUUCGAGGGCGAUCGUGGUAACUUUGGGUCGCAUGCUUGACCGCGCUUUUCAGAUGCUGGUCUGGGUCAGAGACCUGUGCGGCCACCGAUCGGGCCUAGGAGGAGUUAUACAGGCCCAUUUGGGGUGCCGCAGCCUCAGAUCAGCUGACAGUUUCCUUCAAUUCAGCCGUUCCAGACUCGUUGGCAGCCUCAGCCGUUUUAGCAGCCUUUUGGCAUGGGUGGGUGCCUACGCCGUAGACGCAGAGUUAAAGCUCUUCUCAGCUCGAGACCCUAUUCGAUGAUCCGACCACCUCGUAGGGUGUUGGUACAAGCAAAGGUGCGGGUGGUGCGCACGAUGAUGAGGAUGAGCCUUUUCCUUGGGGGUUUACUAGGCCCCCUUAGUAGGCCACAUACAUGUAUUUACUAGUUUGGACAUGUAUUAUUUUUUGUAUUGUGUUAUAGACUUAUGUACAUCUUGCUGCAUUUUUUGUACUUAGUUUCCUUUGCUUUG